AUGACAAUGGAGCCCCUCGGCGGUGUCAUCUCAGUUUGCUGCGUCCAGCCUCACUUUACUGGAUCCAAAUUCAAGUGCAGGCUGGCAUUCUCGUGCGUUGAACCAAGCUACUCUCGGGCUACGGAGUUCUUAACGAGGGGCACUAAUCUGUAUGAUGGGUUUCCCAAAGAUUGCUUCCCCUUCCUUGUGCUGAAGAUGUUGCUUCGGGGCACCGGUGCAAGCACCAUAGCCAUGAUGGGGGUGACCGUGACACCACAAUAG
rnacentral:rRNA from 1 species